GUUUUUGUUUCUAUAUCGAAAGGUUACAAAGUGUUUCGUAAAUUCUUCUGUAGAUAUCUGUUUUACUGUUAUAGGGUAAGUUUAGUUGCUAUUAUUGAAUCACUGACAUAUGUUCAAAUAAAAAUCAUGUUUCAUUUUUCAGAAGUGCAUUCAUUUAAUUUAUCUUAGUAGUCUAUCUUGUUUAAUUUUUUGAUCCGCCCCUUCAAACUCAAGGCGAUCUCUUCAUAUAUACCUUACUUAAAAAAUAUUGUGUAUGUGUAUACAAAAUGUAUGAGCUACCUAUUAUAUUUCAUGUUAACAUUUUUAUCACAUUUAAUUUUUCAUGAAGAAAAGGCCCGGAUCCGGAGUAACAUUUCUCACCCGAAACCAAUGCACUAUCCCCCCUCCCCCCCAAACAUACUUUUUGAACUAGGCAUUCGGUCAUCUACCCCUUAUCCGUAGGGGAAUAGGCUCUUAUAUACAUUAUUUUAAAAAGAUUUCUCUUGUAUAUACCUAUCUUAUUACUUACUCACAAUGGAGUCCGUGGGUGGGUGAGGUGGUGUUGUUAAUGUAAAUCCACUACAUUUCAAGAUCUGCAACCGACUGACUCUUUGUUACGCUCUCUUUACGGAUGCUCUACCCGUGGCAUGAUUUGUCUAAAAGCCUGUAAUAGUCAUACAACAGCACAACAAUGAAUGAAAAGAGGAGGGUGAGGUUAAGGAUGUUUGAGAUUUCAUUUUUUUUUUAAACUACAUGAACAUUAUUUUACACAAUUGUUGGGGGUGAUCCGUGGGUAGCUAUUUCCUGAAGUUUGAUAUGAGCAAUAACAAUAAUUAUAUUUGUUAUGGGUUCCAUUAACUUACGGUAAAAAAUCAUCUAAAUAUUUAUUAACUGGGUGCAAAUUUACAAUUUGCAUGUUUUACCUCAUAAAAUCUCAUAAAAAGGCACGGUUAUAAAAAUGUACUCCAGGGGUCCACUUCAAACACAUUUGGCAAAGAAAUCUAAAUUACUUUUAAAAGU
rnacentral:misc_RNA from 1 species